rnacentral:rRNA from 1 species
GACAGAGGUGCCGAGCGUUAGGCGGAAUCACUGGGCUUAAAGCGUGUGUAGGCGGGUCGUUAAGUGUCUUGUGAAAUCCCCCGGCUCAACCGGGGAAUGGCUGGGCAUAUUGGCGAUCUUGAGCAGUCUAGGGGCAGAUGGAACAAGUGGUGGAGCGGUGAAAUGCGUAGAUAUCACUUGGAACGCCAAAGGUGAAAACAGUCUGCUGGGGACUUGCUGACGCUGAGACACGAAAGCCAGGGGAGCGAACGGG